AUUGAACGCUGGCGGCAGGCUUAACAUAUGCAAGUCGAGCGGAGAUGAGGUGCUUGCACCUUAUCUUAGCGGCGGACGGGUGAGUAAUGCUUAGGAAUCUGCCUAUUAGUGGGGGACAACAUUCCGAAAGGAAUGCUAAUACCGCAUACGCCCUACGGGGGAAAGCAGGGGAUCUUCGGACCUUGCGCUAAUAGAUGAGCCUAAGUCGGAUUAGCUAGUUGGUGGGGUAAAGGCCUACCAAGGCGACGAUCUGUAGCGGGUCUGAGAGGAUGAUCCGCCACACUGGGACUGAGACACGGCCCAGACUCCUACGGGAGGCAGCAGUGGGGAAUAUUGGACAAUGGGCGGAAGCCUGAUCCAGCCAUGCCGCGUGUGUGAAGAAGGCCUUUUGGUUGUAAAGCACUUUAAGCGAGGAGGAGGCUACUUAGAUUAAUACUCUAGGAUAGUGGACGUUACUCGCAGAAUAAGCACCGGCUAACUCUGUGCCAGCCGCCGCAGUAAGAC
rnacentral:rRNA from 1 species